GUGUUUGUUUAUUCGGAUGGUGUUGGGCCGGGUGUUGGCCAUUAGCAAAUAUAAUAAAUCUUAGCGUCAGCCACUAUUUGGCUUCAGCCGAGUACACCUGACGUGGUGAGGAGUAAAAUGACAAUUCUCUCCCUGAAUAUAGAAGGUUCCCUCAGAUUAUUUUCACUCAUUUCAAACUUCCCCCUCCUCCUCUCCUCUCCUCUCCGAAUCCUCCCCACCCACCCCUCACCCCCCACAAGCAAAUCCCUCUUCCCCCCCAUCCCAUCCCUCUCCCCCACCGUCACCCCUAACCCCCGCGUCGUCCAGAAAAUCCUCUCCCUCACUCGAAUCUGAAUCUUUCCUGCAAAAUACAUUCUCAUUCUCCUCCUCUCCGAAUCAUCCCCAACCCCCCACGAGCAAAUCCUCUUCCCCCCCAUCCCAUCCCUCUCCCCCACCCCCACCCCCACCCCUAACCCACGCAUCGCCCAGAAAACCCACCCCCAUUCGAAUCUGUCCUGCAAAAUACAUUCUAGUUCGUCUCGUCGCAUCACCUUCCGCUGUCGUCCUGGUUCGUCGCAUCGCAUCACCUUCCUCUGUCGUUUUGGUUCGUUGCGUCGCAUCACCUUCCUUUGUCCGGCGAGAGAAGUUCAUCCAUCCGACCAGCCUUUGUUUCACCGGCGCUUGCUCAGUCGCAUAGGUAAAUGUGGUACCUAGUUUUCCUUUCAAAUGAUUAUCAAAUUAGUUUACUGAGAAAUUUGUUUUUUGAGUAUAUACCAAUUGGGUUUUGAAAGACCUAGGGCUCGGUUUCACAAACACUAUCCAUUUACAUUUUGAAGUCGAACAAAAGAGGGAUAAUUGUUCUGGUACUCUGCCUUUUCCUUAAGACUCUUUUUUAUGAGAUGAUUCUAACAAAUCGAUAUGCUAGUGCUAUGUUAUAAUUUUUCCAUCAUUAUUAGUUUGAUCUGGGUAGUGGAAAAAAAUACCAAAAUAAAUUAGCCUUCCCUAUAGUGUUGGUUCUGCAUAAAACAAAAUAAAACCGAAAAAUAAUGUGAUGAAUCAUGGAAAAACUUUGCUAAUAAUUUGCUAGAUCACACCUGCUGCAUGUGAUGAAUCAUGCAAAUGUUCUAAACCCUUCUAAAUAUUUAUAAUACAUGAAAGUGGUACUCAUUAAAUGUGCAUAGCUUUAUCAAAUAUGUUUAUAUCAAAUGUGUAUUGGGUGUUUGCAUUUAGUUAGUUUAUCUCUUUUCAACCUGAUGUUGUUGGUUAAUUUUACUUGAUAAGGAAAAUAUCAAACAUAUUACACAUAGGCCUGUAGAUCUUGGCAUGCCAAGUGGUGCGUAUUCUAAUGGACAUGCAAACUGUUUUGCUGUACAUCGCUUGCUGCAGAGUGCUUCUUCUGCUUUACAGGAACAAAAGUAGAAACAGCUUGAUUAACAUCACUAUCUAAACAAUCUAUCUAAGAUAAAUGGCCAUAAGCAAGAGUAGAAACAGCUUGUUAAAGUUAUUAUAGGUCCUGGUUCCUUGUUUGUAAUAGUUGUAACAUGCAGCUGUCUUAAUUUUGAGCAUUGUUCAAGAAGAAUGAACUGGAUAGACUGUAUUUGUGCAGGUCGUUCAAGUCUGUUUAUUUGGUUUUACCAGUGACAUGUUGCAUCUUUCUUCAGCAGUCAUUCAUUAGGCUUUAUUACCGUGUACUGGAUUAUUACAAUUAGAUAGACUCUUGUGUUUGUACUUGUCAUUCGAUUUUUUGAAGGUGGCAUGGCAUCAUCCCAAUCAUCAUCUUCAUUUGGUGAUUUUGUGUUGGAAUCACCAAUUUGUUGGUGUGGCUUGAAAACACAACUAAAGACAUCCCACACUAAGUCUAAUCCGUUCAGAAAAUUUUUUGCUUGCCCAAAAUAUGAUACGGGCGAUGCACGGUGUGAAUUCUUCGUGUGGACGGAUAUAUACCUGUUGCUAGAUCAAAACAUUCGGACUAGAGAGACUAAAGUUUGGACUAUGUGGGAUGAGGUCUUGCUGCGAGAGUGCCAAGUGCAGAAAAGGGAGGAGAAAGUAAAUGAGAGAGAGAGAAGCCUGAAAAAAGCAAAUAGAAAUUUGUUGUGUUUGUAUUGGGUUCUCACAGCUGUAAUAAUUUUAGUUUGGUUUGGAUAAAUUAAUAUACACUGUCAUGUAGUAUCCUUUUCAUUUUGAUGCAUCGUUCCCCACUUGUAAUUAGAGAAACUUUAACUGUUUUGGUUAUGAUGUACAACCAAGGGGAAUUUCCAGCCACCUUGUAUAAUUACCCGUGAGCCUAAUUAAUGAAAAUAUGUAUCAAUUAUGUAUCCAUUCA